rnacentral:lncRNA from 13 species
CUAGAUUGAAGGGACUACAAACCAUAUGAGCCAAUUUUUAUGCCAUUCUAGAAAAAGGCGGAACUCUAAGAAUGAAGAACAGCUCUAUGGUUGCUAGGAGUGAAGAAUGGGGGGACUGAUCAACUUCAAAGAAGCCACACAAGGAAAUGUCUGGAGCUGAUGGUGCUGGGGGAGGACUCAAGAUGGCACUGUGAGAACAACCCAGGAUUGGAGCUCGUGUUGAAUCUGCAAACGAACUGACCGAUGAGGCAAUCGCUAUCACCACGUCUAAAGGGCACGGAAAUACAGCCAGGCAGAGUCAAGAUGUGCUGUAAAUAGAAACUACAGUCAGAUUUCAAAGACUGAAACCAAAAAGUGCAUUUUGUUUCACUAAUAAUUUGUGUAUUGACUCUGUUGAAAUGAUAAUAUUUUGGGAAUAUUGGCUGAAU